AGUUCUCCUGACAGUGGGGUGGGGGGCAGUCAGGCUAUGCUGGAACCCACCUGCCCCCACCCCCCCAAGCCCCCGUCGGGACUGGCCCCAGCCAGCCUCACAAGCAGGCUGACACUGCCCCGAGCACAUUCACCCUUUGCUCCUGGCCCCCCUCCACCCCUCCUGGUCCCACUUCUCCCUGCUGCUCCAGGCCACCAGGCAAGUGCUGAGGAAGUCCCCACCACUCGGGAGCCAGCGGAGCCAGGCAUCACCAGCCCCUGUGUCAGAGGGCCCCCUGGGGGUCACUAUACAGAAGGAUCGGGCUGUGGGACCGAGUGCUUCAGAGGAAGGUCUGGAAGGCUUCCUGGAGGAGGGGCCCUCUGCACUGGGCCUCGAAGGCAGCCGAGGGGAAACAGACAAGCAGAGGAGGGAAGGGCCCCUGGGUUGGGCGGAACGCAUCUCAGGCCGGCCCCCUCCGGCCGGCACAGCCACUCACUGGGUCCCAGAGCGCCAGCUGCCGCUCGCUCAUGCGGCUGAAGCCUGUGGUGAACACCUUGCCGUCCGCCAGGAAGAUGGCUCGCAUGGGCCGGGCCCCCUCGUGAGCCUUCUCCCGCUCCUGAGGGGAAGACGGAGCAGUCGGUGCUGCGCCCCAGUCGAGCCCCUGCACCUGUCCACGGCCAUCCUCACCCUCCGGGGCCACGUACCGCCACCAGGGUCCCCCGGCGGGGGUCAAUGAUGCGCACGCUCUUGUCCUUGCACGCGGAGCAGAAGAGGCUGCCGUUGCGGUUCCAGCUGAUGUUGUAGAUGAGGUCGGGGUGCAGGCUGUCCAGGCGGUACAGCUCCUCCGCAGUGCCCACGUUCCAGAUGAGCACCACGUUGUCGCAGCCUGCCGGGCGGGGGGCCGUCAGCCCACCAGGCCCGCUUUGACCACCCUCCUGGGACCAGACCCGGCAUGGGCCUCAGCCGGGCGGGGCGGGGGCCGCGGGGCAGACCUGCGCUGAGCAGCACGUUGCGGGCCGUCGGGUGCCACGUGAUGAUGCCCACGCGCUUGGUGUGACCCUCCAGCACCACCACGGGCUCUGUCAGCGGGGAGGUCAGCCCGUGCUCUGGGAUCUGCCACACCUGCGGGGGACGGAGGUCAGCUGACGCCCGCGCCCGGCCCAGCCGCCAGGAGCCUGGAGCCGCACCCGCGACCCCAGCCCUGAGCCUCACCAUGACCGUGCAGUCCUCCGAGCCGCUGGCGAUGACUUCGUCAUUGUGGGGACACCAGUCGAUGUCCAGGACAGGUCCCGUGUGUCCACACACUGUCGGGUAGGCCUUGUCAAUGCGGCCCGUCUGAGGGCAUGAAGGGGGCAGUCAAGGGGGGCCUGAGACCCCGCUGAUUCGGUCCCUCCCAAAGCCUGAGUCCAUCCCUCCGUUGAAGGGGGAAUGAUGCGGUUGGCCUGGCCCACGGGGGGCCCAGAUGUGACUCUCACCCUACCUCUUCCUGACCCACCUCUUCCUCACAGCCAUCAGCUGGUACGCAGGAGAAGCUUGUUGCCUCUGACCCUGACUCUGGGGCAAUAAAACACUUUCUCCACCUGA